rnacentral:rRNA from 1 species
UACGUAGGGUGCAAGCGUUAAUCGGAAUUACUGGGCGUAAAGCGUGCGCAGGCGGCUUUGCAAGACAGAUGUGAAAUCCCCGGGCUUAACCUGGGAACUGCAUUUGUGACUGCAAGGCUAGAGUACGGUAGAGGGGGAUGGAAUUCCGCGUGUAGCAGUGAAAUGCGUAGAUAUGCGGAGGAACACCGAUGGCGAAGGCAAUCCCCUGGACCUGUACUGACGCUCAUGCACGAAAGCGUGGGGAGCAAACAGG